CAGGCUUAACACAUGCAAGUCGAGGGGCAUCAGGAAGAAAGCUUGCUUUCUUUGCUGGCGACCGGCGCACGGGUGAGUAACACGUAUCCAACCUGCCCUUUACUCGGGGAUAGCCUUUCGAAAGAAAGAUUAAUACCCGAUAGCAUAAUGAUUCCGCAUGGUUUCAUUAUUAAAGGAUUCCGGUAAAGGAUGGGGAUGCGUUCCAUUAGGUUGUUGGUGAGGUAACGGCCCACCAAGCCUUCGAUGGAUAGGGGUUCUGAGAGGAAGGUCCCCCACAUUGGAACUGAGACACGGUCCAAACUCCUACGGGAGGCAGCAGUGAGGAAUAUUGGUCAAUGGGCGCUAGCCUGAACCAGCCAAGUAGCGUGAAGGAUGAAGGCUCUAUGGGUCGUAAACUUCUUUUAUAUAAGAAUAAAGUGCAGUAUGUAUAUUGUUUUGUAUGUAUUAUAUGAAUAAGGAUCGGCUAACUCCGUGCCAGCAGCCGCGGUAAUACGGAGGAUCCGAGCGUUAUCCGGAUUUAUUGGGUUUAAAGGGAGCGUAGGUGGACUGGUAAGUCAGUUGUGAAAGUUUGCGGCUCAACCGUAAAAUUGCAGUUGAUACUGUCAGUCUUGAGUACAGUAGAGGUGGGCGGAAUUCGUGGUGUAGCGGUGAAAUGCUUAGAUAUCACGAAGAACUCCGAUUGCGAAGGCAGCUCACUGGACUGCAACUGACACUGAUGCUCGAAAGUGUGGGUAUCAAACAGGAUUAGAUACCCUGGUAGUCCACACAGUAAACGAUGAAUACUCGCUGUUUGCGAUAUACAGUAAGCGGCCAAGCGAAAGCAUUAAGUAUUCCACCUGGGGAGUACGCCGGCAACGGUGAAACUCAAAGGAAUUGACGGGGGCCCGCACAAGCGGAGGAACAUGUGGUUUAAUUCGAUGAUACGCGAGGAACCUUACCCGGGCUUAAAUUGCAGUGGAAUGAUGUGGAAACAUGUCAGUGAGCAAUCACCGCUGUGAAGGUGCUGCAUGGUUGUCGUCAGCUCGUGCCGUGAGGUGUCGGCUUAAGUGCCAUAACGAGCGCAACCCUUAUCUUUAGUUACUAACAGGUUAUGCUGAGGACUCUAGAGAGACUGCCGUCGUAAGAUGUGAGGAAGGUGGGGAUGACGUCAAAUCAGCACGGCCCUUACGUCCGGGGCUACACACGUGUUACAAUGGGGGGUACAGAAGGCAGCUAGCGGGUGACCGUAUGCUAAUCCCAAAAUCCUCUCUCAGUUCGGAUCGAAGUCUGCAACCCGACUUCGUGAAGCUGGAUUCGCUAGUAAUCGCGCAUCAGCCACGGCGCGGUGAAUACGUUCCCGGGCCUUGUACACACCGCCCGUCAAGCCAUGGGAGCCGGGGGUACCUGAAGUACGUAACCGCAAGGAUCGUCCUAGGGUAAAACUGGUGACUGGGGCUA
rnacentral:rRNA from 1 species